rnacentral:rRNA from 1 species
GACGAACGCUGGCGGCGUGCUUAACACAUGCAAGUCGAGCGGUAAGGCACCUUCGGGUGUACACGAGCGGCGAACGGGUGAGUAACACGUGAGUAAUCUGCCCUCCACUUCGGGAUAACCGCCGGAAACGGUGGCUAAUACCGGAUACGACGCACUCCCGCAUGGGAUGUGCGUGGAAAGUUUUCUCGGUGGAGGAUGUGCUCGCGGCCUAUCAGCUUGUUGGUGGGGUAACGGCCUACCAAGGCUUCGACGGGUAGCCGGCCUGAGAGGGUGACCGGCCACACUGGGACUGAGACACGGCCCAGACUCCUACGGGAGGCAGCAGUGGGGAAUAUUGGACAAUGGGCGAAAGCCUGAUCCAGCAACGCCGCGUGAGGGAUGACGGCCUUCGGGUUGUAAACCUCUUUCAGUACCGACGAAGCGCCAAUAACGGUGGUGACGGUAGGUACAGAAGAAGGACCGGCCAACUACGUGCCAGCCGCCGCCGUAAAAC